rnacentral:rRNA from 1 species
AUGACUGAAAAAGUGGUGUGGGAUGAUGCACGUCUGAAGAAAGUCAUAUAAAUAUUCAGAGAAGAGGAUGAAAAUGAGAAUAGGACCUUAGGUUAUUUUACUAAGAAGGGCUGGGACAUUGUUAUCGAGAAAUGGGAAGCAAGAAUGGGAAAGAAGUAUCCCAAGGAUAAAUUCAAGAAUAAAUGGGAUGCAAUAAAAAAUGACUAUGUGUUUUUCAUGGAGUUGAAAAAUGAAGCAACCGGGCUUGGAUGGGGUGAUGCAAAGAGAACCGUUGUUUGCCCUCAAGAAUGGUGGGAUGAACAUGUUGUGAGAUGCCAAGAGAGGACGGAAAAGAAAUGCAAUCAUUUGAAGUUCAAAUGAGAGGGUCCGAAGCACCUUGAAGAUUUACAUGUCAUAUUUCACAAAGUACAUGUCACAGGGGCUAGUGCUUCUUGUGCUGGAGAUAUAUCUUCUGAUGAAUCAAGUGAUGAUAAUGUGGUUCCUUUGGAGAAACCUGAUGAUAGUGAUGAAAUGAAGUUGUCAUCUUUGAAGAAAACAAAAGCAAGCAAGAAGCUCAAUAAAAAUGAGGAGAAGGAAGAGAAGAGUCCCUUCUUAGGAUUGUACAAGCAGACAUGUGAGAAGAUAGAAAGUGGAGUGGAGAAGAUAACCUCUAGUGUUGAAGCAUCAUCGGCUCCUCCUCCAACCAACCUUGUCCCUACCAUUUUGGAGGUUAUGAAGUUGGUGAAAGAUUGUGGUGUGAAAGAAAAAACUGCUCUCAUGCACACAACCCUCACUCUUAUAGUGAAGCCUGACUUUAGGGAAAUCUUCAGUCUUCUUGAAACAAAAGAAGGGAGGCUUGAUUAUCUGCAGAGGGAGCAUGAGAAGUAG